rnacentral:rRNA from 1 species
GACGAACGCUGGCGGCGUGCUUAACACAUGCAAGUCGAACGGACAGGCCCUGCUUUUGUUGGUUGCUCGAGUGGCGAACGGGUGAGUAACACGUGAGUAACCUGCCCUUGACUUUGGGAUAACUUCAGGAAACUGCGGCUCUUACCGGAUAUGAGCUCCUGCUGCAUGUUGUGGGUUGGAAAGUUUCGGCUGUUGUGGAUGGACUCGCGGCUUAUCCGCUUGUUGGUGGGGUAGUGGCUUACCAAGGCUUUGACGGGUAGCCGGCCUGAGAGGGUGACCGGCGACAAUGGGACUGAGAGACGGACCAGACGGCUACGGGAGGCAGAAGGGGGGAAUAUGGCACAAUGGGCGGAAGACUGAUGCAGAAACGCCGCGUGCGGGAUGACGGCCUUCGGGGGGUAAACAGCUGUCGAAGGUGACGAAGAGGGAGUGACGGUAAUGGGUAAAGAAGCACCGGCUAACUACGUG